AGUGAACGCUGGCGGUAGGCCUAACACAUGCAAGUCGAACGGCAGCACAGUAAGAGCUUGCUCUUACGGGUGGCGAGUGGCGGACGGGUGAGGAAUACAUCGGAAUCUACUUUUUCGUGGGGGAUAACGUAGGGAAACUUACGCUAAUACCGCAUACGACCUACGGGUGAAAGCAGGGGAUCUUCGGACCUUGCGCGAUUGAAUGAGCCGAUGUCGGAUUAGCUAGUUGGCGGGGGAAAGGCCCACCAAGGCGACGAUCCGUAGCUGGUCUGAGAGGAUGAUCAGCCACACUGGAACUGAGACACGGUCCAGACUCCUACGGGAGGCAGCAGUGGGGAAUAUUGGACAAUGGGCGCAAUCCUGAUCCAGCCAUACCGCGUGGGUGAAGAAGGCCUUCGGGUUGUAAAGCCCUUUUGUUGGGAAAGAAAAGCAGCAGGUUAAUACCCCGCUGUUCUGACGGUACCCAAAGAAUAAGCACCGGCUAACUUCGUG
rnacentral:rRNA from 1 species